UAUCUUUUUCUCAAUAAUCUCUCUCAAAUUCCCCCACUUUCUCCUCAAAACAGUAAAGCAGCUGAAGAAACUUCCAAGCGAAAUACAGAUCCUUCAUAAUAAAACCCCUGUUUCUCUCUCCUCUCUCUAGAACCUUCUUCCACUCUCUCUCAUCUUCUCCAACUAUAAUUAGAAAACCCAAAUCCCCAAAUUUAAAUUAGGUUUAAACCCACAUCAAUUCCAACAAAACCCAUAUCUAAUUUAUUAACUUCCUCUGUUUCUCCAAAAAUGGAAGGUGUAAAUGUGAAGCAAGAAGAGGGUACAAUCCCCUGCAACGCGGGUACACCGACAAAUUCAUCAUCUUCAUCAAACUUCUCUGUUAGACCAAUGGAAGGGCUUCAUGAAAUGGGCCCACCUCCAUUUUUGAUCAAAACUUUUGAUAUGGUGGAAGACCCUUCAACUGAUCCCAUUGUUUCUUGGAGUAAAACUCGUAAUAGCUUCAUUGUUUGGGAUUCUUAUAAGUUUUCUACUUCACUUUUGCCCAGAUUUUUCAAGCAUAAUAAUUUCUCUAGCUUCAUUCGUCAAUUGAACACUUAUGGUUUUAGAAAGGUUGAUCCUGAUCGUUGGGAAUUCGCGAAUGAAGGGUUUUUAGGAGGGCAAAAGCAUUUGUUAAAGACCAUCAAGAGGAGGAGAAAUGUCACACAAAAUGUUCAACAUCAAGGAGGAGCUUGUGUUGAGAUAGGCCAUUAUGGAUUAGAUGGUGAUAUGGAAAGACUAAGGAGAGAUCGUAACUUGUUAAUGGCGGAACUUGUAAAGCUACGACAACAACAGCAGUUCUCAAGGGAGCAACUCCGAACCAUGGAGGCUCGACUUCAGUCUACUGAAAGAAAGCAACAACAGAUGAUGACAUUUCUAGCCAAAGCCCUUACAAACCCAGCAUUUGUGCAGAAUUUGAUGCAAUGCAAGGGUAGCGCCUUUGAAGGUAUCGAGAUUGGAAGGAAAAGGAGAUUAACUGCUAGCCGAAGUGCAGAGAGCUUGCAAGAAGAAGUGUUUUCAGCAGCAGUGGAAGCUACUGAAGGGCUGGCAGCUGCUGAAUCGGAAAUUGAGACAUUGUUCUCGGCUGCAUUAGAUGAAGAAUCAAGCAUCACUGAUAUUAAGGAGCCGAUGUUGGAACCCAACUCGAUUCCUUCACCAAUUGGUGCAAAUUUAGGAAAUGUGGGUGAGCUAAAUUGGGAAGAGCUGCUAAACGAGGACUUGAUUGGCGAGGGAGAACAAGAACUUGAUGUACCAAUUGAGGAUUUGGUGCCUGAAUCUUCAAAUUGGGGUGAGGAUUUACAAGAUUUAAUAGAUCAAAUGGGUUUUCUAAAAUGAAAACCCUGAUGAUAGAUAAUCAUAUGAUUGUAUUAUAAUGGUUCCUUGCUAUAUUAGCUGCCAUAGCUGUGUUCCUGCCCUCAUUAAUUGAAGUGUGGCAGGAGAAUGCAAGGGCCAGUAAUUGAUGGUUGAGAGUUUGUUUCUUUGUAUCUUUCAGAAUUGGCUUGGUAAUCAAGUAAGAUUAAUUUGUGUAAUUUUUUUUAGUAACCCGAAUCAUUGUGUUUUGCAGGGCAAUCUUAUGACCAAGGGUAGCAAGAAGAAUCAAUUUUCUACUGGUUAUAAAAUUACAGCUAAAAUCCUCAUCCAGUAAUGCGAUUUAGCUGAUUUUUCUAUCAGAAAUUAGGAGGUUUAUUUCAACUUUUGCUGAUUUGUUAUAUGAACAUAGAUUUCUGUUUUGGCUUUUGGGUGUACAUAUUUGGUGGCUGUUAACUCUGUUGUGCUGUAAUUAGAGGUGUAUUAUUUAUUGUCUAGCUUUAGAUACUUGCUGAAUUUGGUUGAUACAGAAGAGUCAGCUACAAUGAGAAAACUUUGCACACUUCCUUUCAGUUUUUAUUUUCCUCUGAAGGUAUUGCAUCUAUAUGUAAAGUUGAGGUGAAAGUUUCAUUGUUUAUAGUAAUACACUAAUUCUUCCAUUA